GAAGGAGAGAGGGAAAGAGGGAAAGAGACAGAGAGAAGGAGAUCGGGAGUGAGUGGAGGGUGGUAAACUGAAUCUCGCUAGACGCCGCGGGACUAAAUCAGUUUGCAGGCUCCUUUCUUUCAAGUCCUUCUUUUCGUUCUGGGUGUGCAUGUCGCUGCUAAACUGCAACUCAAAUAUUGUCGACCGCCUCGUUUGAUCUUUCCUCUGUCCAAUCCGCUGAAGGCACAACAUAGCCUCCAAUUUGCGUGUAUUAAGAUAGCGUGUGGAUUCAUGCGAUCCACCGAUCCCCACAAAAAAGAAGUACCAUUUUCAUUAGUUUACCACAAUUAGUUGUAACAUCAACGAGAAGAAGCCACGCUUUCCGAUUGGAAAUCACAUCCAGGAAGUGCGCACUGUUAGGUGUACGGGUAUGCAUGCGGUACGUAACCCGGUUUUUACUUUGCAUUUCUUUUAGUGUUGCCUUGGCAGUGUCAACGUGCUGAACCCACGCCCAUUAUUCCCUUCGCCGUAAAGUUCUCUGCCAACACGCGUGGCGAUAAUCAUCUAUUGGAUGGUAAAGCAGGAACUGUGAAACCCAAACAAGUAUAUAAUUGGCCAUUUGGUUUGUCAUUCCGUUGGGAUCAUUGUCUCUGGCUUUCAGCUUUUCCGUAUUUGAAAUAUUAAUCGUGACGACCGCAGACAGAUAAGCAUUUGCAUCUGCGUCCCUUCCGAGCGUUGCUAAACUUGCUGUUAUAAGACGUCCUCACCGAGAGCCACAUACGUAACCAUCGAGGAAUCCGAGUCGACAUAUAAGACGCUAAGAUUUAUGGUUGUGCAUUAUGCUCUUUUGGGGAGAAAAAAAAUAACGCUGCCAGCUUCGUUUUGACACUUAUGAAGCUGACCUUAACGUUUAUGUUCAGCCAGCCGGCAGACGGAUGCUGGCUGAGCGUCAUAAAGUCAUGAUGUCGGGGGCCCCAAUGUUCCUUUGACGCCAGAACCAAAGCGACCGAGACUGUUCACUUGUUACUCAUUUUCCGACGAAUCGGCGUUUGGGAAAGCGCUCGGAAGGCUAGAGUUUGAAUUUAUCCUCACCCGACUGUAGCGCAUAGUUUGAUGAACCGAGGUUGAAUUCGACCUCAAGCAGUCUAGUGACACACACAACGACAAGAGAUGCAAACAAAAAAAAUGCCUUUACAAGAACUCCAAAUCCAGUUGAAUACCGCCCGACGAUCUAAUACAAAAAAUUUUCAGUUCCUGCGAUUCCUUGUUCGUCCGCGUCCUUGACAGAGAGCAUGUUUUCGCCAAAUGUCCAUCACCUACAGUAUAGUUUCCACUCCUUACUUUUGAGUCAACGCUCGAUGAUUGUGUUGAACGCAUAUCCAUCACGUCACGCUACGAUUCUAAAUACUUUUAUCCUGUUAGCCGUCAACAUUUUUGCACAACAAUAGUUGUUGGUCAGCGCGCCGGAAACGCUAAUAACGAUGCGUUUGGACUUCUUAUGCAGUUUGUCCUGAUCAGAUAACCCAGCACAUUAAAAUGCCUGAAAUUUUAUGGCUACAUACGUAAAUAGAGGUAGAAUGCAAGUGCCACGAUCUUAGUGUUUGCGCUCUAUGGUCAAUAAUAUCGUUUGACGUGUUUACCAAUAACAAGCGGGAUUUCAGCGAAACAGUAUUGGUGGGAUAAUUAUACCAGGUUAUACAGUGGGACUGAAUUUUGAGUGAAUUAACGCAAAAAAAAAAAAUUAAUAUUUAUUAUCCUUACAGAGGACAGGUAACAUUUAUGGAUGAAGUACGGCAAUCUAGAAGAGCCUGCUUUUAAAAAAGUGAUUCGAAUCAGAUAGGGAAUGAUCCUGUCAGUCUUCAUGUUCUCCCUCAUUGUUUCUUACACACAAAAACCGAGAGGCAACUACGUGAUUGUUUACACCAUAUCGACACCGUAAUACCAUAGUUGAUAAGUUUACCUAUACCUUUGGCCCUUCACCUAAGCCAUGGCAGUCUAGAUCAUUGGAAGCCUGAUUGGCUGCUACGAUUGUUUACCUCUGGUCGGAUGCUAAUGAAUAAGUGCCCGUGCCAAGAACUUUUAGCCUCUGUAGCGAUACCUAGGCUAGGAAUUCCUAUUCAACGAAAAAUCGAUCACGAGGAUUUUUUUUUUAAAUAAAUUUUCGAACACUGAGUAUUUACCCAAUAUUUUGCUGGUCCGAAGUUGUUGUGUGAAUAAGGAUACAAGUGAGGACAAAGAUAAGCAAGCAAUAUUGUUCGAAACUAGUAUUUAAAAUCUAGGAUUUUUGGUUGUUUCCGUCAUUUAAAUAGAACUUUGAAGUCCUGGGAGAUGAAAUAAUUUUGAAAUUUCCUUACAUUACAGAGAAACAUGUUUGACUAAACGUAGUGGCCCAUCUAUGACUGAUUUAAAACCAAUGCGUGUUGCGAAAGCAUAGUUUUCCUCUAUAAAAUGUUUUGUUUCUGCUCGUCAGAUGGCAUCGUGUGGUUAUUGCGGAUCGGCUGAAGUUGAAGGGCCUUAAGCGCUUGAUAAAAGUGCCUAUUUGGCACGGGCGAGAUGGGGAUCCCUCUGGGUUGUUUUGAUGUUUUCUAGAAGGCUGCACCAAAUAUACGCAAUUCUUCAUGUGUCAA